GCUAACAAGGGGCAGACAGGAUUAAGCCAACCACCUUGGCGCUGACCUCUGGCUCAACCCGCCUAAACCUCGUGGGUGCCACAAGACGGGGUGAAAGCGGCCACUCCGAGUCCAGGUGUUCUCAGCAGAACGGGACGCUGGGUCCUGAAAGGCCGUCCAGAAAUGUCCACAUUCCAUCAGUCGGGGUCUCUCUCCAUCAGGAAAGCAGAGGAAUGCUGUCGGGAUUGCGGGCUGCAUAUUUGAGGAGUGAAACCUGAGGCCUGUCCACCUGCUGACCACGGUCCAGCCCCACGAACGGGCCGGCGGCAGGUCAACCCUGCCGUGGACACCGGGCGCUAAUGCUGCAAGCAGACCCCAAUCGCUCUUCUAGCUGUGGGUGUCCAUCGGGGGGUAACAGCAGCCCCCCGCCCAGCGCGCCAGAGGCCGCCAGAGCGGGCUGGGCCAGCCUGGUCCCAGAGGCUCGAGCAGGCACGCCGCGCUGCUUGAACACCCUGAGCUGGCCUGCGAAACACGGCGGAACGAAGAUUCAGGGAACCCCGGUCUCGGAGAUGCUGCGUUCACCAGCCGGGGCCCAGGGCCCACGGAGAGGCCUGGUGUCCGUCCGCGAGGAGGAUCCAGAACAGGGGCUUACUGCGGACUCGCUGACGGGCAGCCGGACUCUGCCGCGUCCACCCUUUCUUUGUCCCCUGGGGACCCCACCACACUCCAAACCUUAGCUGGCUUAGCUCCGAGAUGACUCAGUCGGACCCCCGGAGCUACAAGGAAGACCCAUGUAUGACCUCUGCCCAGUCUCACCUCUUAAAGCUGACCCCAAGUCUUUGGUGGGGAGACUGCUUUGUCUCUGGUCUCUUCGCUGGGCUGGCCUGAUAAAUAAUCCCCUUCUUCUCUUCAGCUCCUUACCAGCAACUCCUCGGUGGGUAGAUAGGUAGAUACAGAGAUAGAUAGAUAGAUCCUAUUGGUUCUGUUUUCCUAUCGAACCGUCGUACAAGUCGUUAACCCCCCAGCGUUUCUGCGAGGACUAGAGAAGGUGCCUGUGGAGGCGACUCUGUGCCCAGCUCGCCAUGGACCCUCCGUGACAGGUGCCGCCCGACCUCCCAGCCUCUGUGGGGCUCUGCGGAGCUGCUGAGAAAACGCGCACAGAAUCAAACACGCCUGAGCGGACGGCGGCCCCUCGGCAGGUUGAAUGGAGGACGACACGGCACUCCGUGGGGUUCGGAGCAGGCGUUCAGACGAGGAAGGACCCCUUCCCAGGGGUCUGCCCUGACCACGCUCCCUCCUCGCCCCUCUGCUCAUGGGGUGCACCCCCCACCACGGUGCGCUGUGCUCACGGGCUGUGUCCAUUGUCUGUCUCCCGUCCUCGAGCGGCCGCGGCACGAGGGCACGGGGUUACCUGUGUGCCCUUCGGUCCACACCUCCAGUGGUCGCUAAUGUAUAAUUGGGGUGCAAUAAGCAUUGAUCCAAUAAAAGCAUGAAUGAGUGAA